CAUUAAGAAGCUAUAUAGCAUUAACCUUUUAAGUUAAAGACUGAGAGUUUAAAUCUCUCCUUAAUGA
rnacentral:tRNA from 1 species